GCAUUGGUGGUUCACUGGUAGAAUUCUCACCUUCCAUGUAGGAGACUGGAGUUCGAUUCCCAGCCAAUGCA
rnacentral:tRNA from 1 species